GGACUCAAGGUAGGUUAGGCUUACUUGUAGUUAGAUUGAGCUUUACUAUAGUAUAAUUCUGAUAUCUUGAUAAGAUUGGGAGGGUUCUUAGGUGUUGAAAUGGUAGAUGGUAGUGCUUGAGACUAGUUGAAACACUUAGGCAAUUGAACCCGUAAAGUGUGAUGUUUGACCUAUAGCCUAGAACCUCGGUUAGUUAGAUUUGUAAUCUCAUGAAUAGCAUGUUAUUGACAUAGUAAGAUUAGUUGUGGAAUGACUUUAGGUGCUUGUGGUAACUUACGAGUAAUCCUUGAAGAAGAGUUGUCCUAUAGAACUAGCAUAGAUUCGUGAGCCCUUAAGGUAUGAUUUAGAUAACUUAGCCUAAUUUUGGGUAGAAGUUAGACUUGUAGAAGAGAACUUUUGGGGAUUAUUAGAAGUGGAACUUGACCCACCUUAAGCUUGACUAUGUAACUUCUUAGUGACCUAGAUAGGUGUUGAACUCCUAGAUUAUGCCUUGGUGAUUUAAUGGCUAAGCCUAGUAUAUGGUUUAUGCAUAUUGUCGAUAUUGGAAUAAUGUGUAUACUUGAUUGAUUAUCUUGUUUUCAUGAUAUGAAUAGCAUUGAAAGGUAUUGUGAAUUGAACCAAUGAUUAUGCUAUAACUUAACUUACUGGCUACAUUACUAUAUGAGCCUUGAAUUAUGUCAUAACUCUUAUUAUGUUUCAAGCUUAAUGACUAAGCUAAUGUUUGUGUAAUGAAUCUUUCGCUCUAGUACUGUGAACCAUAUGGGUAAAAGAAGGAUUUAAGAAGGCAUACCCAUGACAAAUAAUUGACUGGGUAAUAAUCAUGAUGAAACUUGGAAAAGUGGUGAUUGCUCAUAUCAUUUAGAUAUACUUUCCCAUGCAUCUACUCAUAUAAUAUGGUAAUGAUUAAUGGUAAAACACCUUGAUAUGUAUUUCCUUACCUCUUUUACUCUCUAUUGUUGUGGGCUUAUACUUCUUAUUGAUUUGACUACAUAUGUAUGUAAUUAUUGUUAUCUUGGUGGUUAUUAAUAAUAUGAUAUUUCCUAGUGAAUCUGGAAGAUACAUUAUUGUUAUGACAUAGCCUGGUAAAUCCAGAGGAAGUAUUGAUGCUAUGGUGUUGCCCGAUAAAUCUGAAAGAGGUAUUGAUGUUAUGAUAUUGCCCGGUGAAUUCGGAGGAUAUAUUGAUGUUAAGAUGUUGCCCGGUGAAUCCAAAGGAUAUAUUGAUGUCAUGAUGUUGCUCGAUAAAUCCUAAAAAGGUAUUGAUGUUAUGAUGAUACCUGAUGGAUCUGGAGGAUAUAUUGAUAUUAUGGUGAUGUUACAUAUGGUAAGUAUAUAUACAUAUAUCGGUGUAUGUGUGGUUAUAUCAUUGUAUGGUUAAGUCCUUGUGUGCACUUAGGAUAUGAGGUUUUCCUUGAGAAGUUGUCUAUAAUCCUCUACCAUUAAUCACUAGCCAAGUAGUGUAGCUCUUGUUAAUGCUAAACAGUGUAUAGAAGUAGAAUAUGCCAAAUUUUGAGCUAAGACUAAUUGGUAAGUGUAAUAAUGUGUAGAGUUAAGGAUUUACCUAGUAUAUAUAUUUGGCUUGAAUGAAGGUUUGAUUAUGGACUUUGGCCUAGUAAAUGGGUUAUAUGAUAGCUAGUUGUUACAUAAAGUGGUUGUAUUACUAGACUGCUAAAAGCCUAGAAUACUAGUUGGUGGACCUUGUUUGGUUAAAGUGUGGUAACUAGUAGUUAUGGUUGAUUAAGUAGCUAAUGAAUAUAAUAGACCUAGAAUUGUUGAAGAUUAGUGAUAUUGGCACCUAGUAGGUGAUGUCGUGGGUUGCUUAAAUAUUGAAUUAAAGAUUUAUGGUGUUAGCUAAUAAGAGGUGUUGAAUAAUAAGUUAGAUAAAUGAGUUUGAUAAUAAGUGACCUCUUCUUAUAUGAUGGUUAGUGUACUUAUGGUAAGUAGGACUAAUGAUUUGAAGUUAAAUGGUUAUUAUGGCUUUGUCGUACAUCUUGUCUAGAUGAGAAAGUUGGAGGCCUUAAGAUGACUAGUAACAGUAGCUUAAUAAUAAAUGGUGGUUAGUUAAUAUAGACUUGUAAUGCCCCGAAUUUGGUACCCAGGAUGCAACACGGUGCUCAUGAUCCCAAAGGACCACAAGCUAAUCCAUGACUGAUAUUUGUACUUGUAUACUACAUAAUAUAUUGUAUAAAUGCAGAAACAUGAACUGAAAGGUCAUAAUGUUCAAAACAGUAACAUAACUGAUAAAUCAUAACAUAUGGGCGGGGUAUAAAUACCUAAAACAAAACUGUCUAACAUGAUAGUCUGAACAUAAUAGUCUGCAAAACCUCUAACUGACUGAACUGUCUGAAUAAGGAGUUGAUGGGAUAUGUCCCAAACCAACUCCACUAAUAAAUAAAUAAAUAAAUAAAUAAAUAAGAUAGUAAAGAGAUGGUCAUGUCCUCAAAGGAUGAGGACUCACUACUACUCUGACUACUAAGAUUGGAAUACUACUGAUGCGAUCGUGUCUCAAAACCUAUGGUAUAAGACACCAUAGCGCAAAUGUGUCAGUACUUUGAAUGUAUUGGUAUACAUGAGAGGUAGGCUGAAUGCAUGGGGUUCAUAUGCAUGAACAAUACUGGCUAACUGACUAAUAUGAACGUGAGAAUACAUGCAUGAAUAAGUAGUAACUAGAUCUGAGAUCGUGAUAACAUAAAUUUAUUGAUAAUUAACAUGACUGAUAACUGAAUUCUGAUGACUGAUAUAACUAAUGAUAUGAGUGACUGUGUCUGACAGUCCUGAAGUUGAUGGAAGUAGCUGAGUUCUGUACUGUUCUGAGUUGACUGUAUCUGACAGUCUUGAAUUCUGUAGAAUUAUCUGAGUUCUAUUACUGAGACUGAAUAACUAUAUCUAACAGUCCUGAUUCCGUAACUGAAACUAUGGGAAGUAGUUAUCUAACUGACAUGCCCCGAAUACGCCAUUAUGGAUGGGUUGGGGUCCAAUCUGUAACCCCAAUUGGAAGGGUGUCAUUACCGCGCCACUGGUAAGGACAAUCUUUGACUAGCCCUCAUAUAACAUGUAACUCUAGUGAGAAUGGUGGGAACCCUCAUAUAACAAGUUAAGCCACCUCAUCUACCCUUAUAUAACAGGCUAUGAUGUCUCAACCUAUGCUGGCUACGUAGUUCAGGAAUGCAAGAAUUACUUCUAAGAAUCACACCCUCAUAUAACAGGUGAGUUCCCAUCCUUGGGUUCACUCGGUGCUAAUUCCUACUCCCAUCCAAAUAGACACUGAACAUGGAUUACUGAACUGAACUGGACUGAAUUAACUGAGUUUCGUUGACUGAUAGAAUAAUACUGAGAUUACUGAAUUAUUGAGAUUUCCUGAGUCACAUGACUGACUGAGUUCUAUGAAUCAUGGCUUGACUGAGGAAAUCAUGAAAACAUGACAAUAAAUCUAGGCACACAGCUAUAUUUUUUGGGUAUAAGUACCCCCAGGACUCGAUGGAAGGAAACUGACAAGGCAUGACAUUCUUAAAUACAUGGCCAACAUCAACAAUCCAUAAUACAAUAAGUUAGGGAUUUCAUGAAGUACAUGGUUAUCAUAAUCUCGUACAUGAAUAGGAAUACAUAUCAACAUACCAAUAUUUAAUCAACUAGUCCCCUAGGUAAUCCUUCAAACAUUCAUAAUGCACAACAAUAUCAUAGAAGUCAUUUUGAUAAUAAAGGUAAAGCAUGCAUUUAUCAUUUGGAUCACAAUUUAGCUAUAAGGCAUAAUUUAUAUCCUUUUAGGCAUUUUAUCAAACACCUUUCAUGCACAACUUAAGGCAUAGGUGAAAUCAUCAAAUUUCACAAAUCAUAAACCACCAAAUUCAUGGAUUUCAAUUUAUAUGCUAACGUAGUUUUCAUAAUUUCACAUGAAGAUCCCAACUUGGGAUCAAACAAUAACAUCACAUAAACUUGAGCAACCCACAACAUAAUAACAUGAUUCAUAAUUUAAAAUAGGGUACUUGAGCUUUAUGGAUGAAAGAAAUCCAUAAAUCAACACAACGUAUACCUUAGUUCUUUGUCUAGAGAAGAUUGACGGAGAAACUUUCUUGAAAUUGACUCCCCAAUUAAAACCCUAGCUUGUUCUUGAGAGAAAAUUGAGAGAAACUAGUAUAUUUUGGGUGAAAAUAGCUAAAUCACGUGUUAUUGGGUUUAAAUAGGGGUAGAAAAUUGGCCCUUUUAAACCCUAGGUGUGUCUUUUAAAAUUGGGGAAAAUUUCCUGACCUAGAGCCCUGGUGCGACGCGGCGCUAUCGCGUCGCGUCAUUGGAAUUUGACAACUAGGAAAUUGGGGGAUGGCGCAAUGCGGAGCCAUAGCGUUGCCACUUCUUUUAUGACCUGGAAGUUUGGCACAACGCGCCACUAUUGCAGACUCCUACUGGAAUUUGACAAAUGCCAUUUUCUUUUGUGGUGCGGUGCGCCAAUGACUAAUAUAGCGCUGCUUUACGAUGGGAACUUGAAAUAGUCAUAACUUCUUACCCGGUUAUUGGAUUUUGGUGAAUCUUAUAUCAAUGGAAAGCUUAUUGAAUUUUCCAAAUAACUAAAAGUGAAAAUAUUAAAAAUUCCUCAUGGAAUAAACAUCAUUCAAUUUAAAAAGUAAUACUAGACAUUCUUGAAAUAAAAUUUGUUAUAAAACUUUGAGGUAUUCUAAUAUCUCCCCCUUGAGAACAUUUGUCCUCGAAUGAGACUAACUGAGAGGGAAAAAACGAUAAGCCAAAGUACAUACUGAACAUGAACACUACACUAUGACUACAUAACUGACAUUCCUGAUACUUAUACUUAGCAUGCAUAUCUGAUACAUGAUUUCAUGACUGAGCUGAUACAUUAAUGCAUUAUUGAGAGUACUGAUAAGCUGAUCACAUAUAUUUGAUGCGUGAAUAUGUGACAGAACUAAUUAUAUCAUAAAGAGAAUGCAUGUAUGAUGCAUGAACAUAUAACUAAAUAUGCAAUGGUACUUAGUACCAAAUUUAAAAAAUGGAAUUCUGAACAUGAGACUGAUGCCAAGUCGUGACUGAAAUCUGGACAUGAAGACUAAAAAUCUUAAGGAAAACUGUUACCUUAAGCCAAAUUUGAGUUAGCAGAGAAGAGAUAAGGAUACUUAGUAUGCAUGUCUGCUUCUGCUUCCUAAGUAGCUCUCUCAAUGGACUGGUUCCACCAAAGAACUUUAACUUGAGGGACUUCUUUGUACCUUAGUCUACGAGUCUGAUAAUCUAGGAUUUUGACUGGAAUCUCUUUAUAAGAGAGGCUAUUCUGAACAUCGAUGCUCUGAAUAGGGACUACAACUACUGGGUCACCUAUAUACUUCUUGAUCAAUGAGACAUGGAAGACUGGAUGGAAUGAGGCUAGAUCUAUAGGUAACUCGAUCUUAUAAGUUACGUUGCUAAAGCGAUUAAGAAUUUUGAAGGGGCCAACAAAUCAGGGACUCAGCUUUCCCUUUUAGCUAAACCUCUUCACCCUCUUCAUAGGAGAGAUCUUUAGAUAGACACAGUCACCGAUCUCGACCUAGAUAUCCUUUCUACGAACAUCUGCAUAAGACUUUUAUCGGCUCUGAGCAGCCCAAAGUCUUACCGGAAAUGAUAAGACCAAGAAAUGCUACUGACCUUAGCCAAAAUUUGCACUUACUGAAUCUGGUGAACAACUGAUGAUUUCUGAGAGUCAGAAGUACAAUUCUGAGAUGGUUUGCAUGAUCAUGAUCACUGCGAGAAUAGACCAGAAUAUCAUCUAUAAAGACUUGAACACAUGGUUCAUCAAGUCCAUGAAAGUUGUUAGGGCAUUGGUAAGACCAAAGGACAUAAUUAAUAAUUUGAAGUAACCAUACCGAGUAUGAAAGGCUAUCUUUGGGAUGUCACACACUCUGAUCUAAGCUGAUGAUAGUCUGAUCUAAGGUCUAUCUUAAAAAAAUAGCUGGCACCUUGAAGUUGGUCAAACAAGUUAUUGAUUCUGGGAAGUGGAUACUUGUUCUUGAUCGUGACUUUAUUGAGUUGAUGGUAAUUAAUGCACAUUCUGAGAAAACGAUCUUUCUUUUACAUGAAUAAGACUGGUGUACCCCACGAGGACACACUAGGCCUGAUAAAUCCCUUAUCUAAGACAUCCUUUAACUAUUUUUUAUAUUCUUUGAGUUUUCUAGGUGCUAUUCUGUAUGGAAAAAUAGAUAUAGGCUGAGUAUCUGGAAGAAGAUCAAUGCCAAAGUUCAUUUUCCUUUCAGGAGGAAACCUUAGAAGAUCUUCGGGAAAGACAUCUGAAUAUUCAUUCACAACUGGGACUGAAUCAAGGCUGGGAGCUUCAGAACUAGUGUCCUUAACUCGAACAAGAUUAUAGACACACCCCUUAGAUAUCAUUUUCCUUGCUCGAAGGUAGGAAAUAAGCUAACCUCUGAAGGCGGAUACACUACCCUUCCACUCUAGGAUGGGUUUAUUCAGAAACUGAAACUGGACUAUUCUAUUUCUGCAGUUGACUGUGGCAUAGCAGGAAUAAAGCUAAUCCAUGCAGAGAAUAACAUCAAAAUCAGUCAUCUCUUAUUUGACUAAGUCUGCUGAAGUAACUUUCUGAAAUAUCAUAAUCGGGCAGUUCCUGUAUACCCACUGGGCUAUGAUGGUCUUACCCAUAACGAUAGAGACUAAAAAGGGCUCUGCUAAAAUUUUAGGACUGAUUCCAAAAUCAACUGCUCUAUAGGGAGUAACAAAAGACAAAGAAGAACCUAGAUCUUGCAAAGGAUAAACAUGCAUAUAAAAGAUUUAUAACAUCCUAGUAACUACAUUAGGAGAAUUUUCCUGAUCUUGCUGGGACUGGAGAGCAUAGAGUCUAUUUGGGUGUUGUUCACUAGUAGCAUUGGAGGUGGCACCCUGCUGGUUUGGGUGAUUGGACUAAGAUGGGGAAUGGUUCUGCUGACCCUGAGGACCUGGCUAAGGACAUUCUUUGACUCUGUGGCAUGGCUUGCCACAUCCAAAACAAUUACCACUACCAGCUCUACAAAUACCCUGAUAGUGCUUACCACAAGUCUGGCAAUGAGGAUAGGUGGGGGUACUGCUAACACUGCCCUGAACUUAGAGCCUGGCGCUCUAUCUCUGUUACUAUCCCUGAACUUAGUAACUAGAGCACUGGCUGAGGAAGGAGAAGGAACUAAUUACUUAGGAUUAAACUGAGAGUGGUUUCCUCCUUCUGAUUUGGGCUAAGCAAAGUUGAAAUUACCUAUUUUUGCUCUCUUAUUCUAAUUCUCCCUUAUCUUAAUCAUUUGCUCUUUUAUCUAUUGAGCAUGAUUCAUAAUCCUGGCUAAAGUAAUAUCAAUAUUCAAUAUCAUAGACUUGCACUCAUUGACCACACUAUCGUUUACCCCUGAAACAAACUUACUCAUCUUGGCCCUGCUAUCUACAACCACCUGCAGAGCGUAUCUGGCUAAUUGAGUAAACUUAAGAGAAUACUCAUUCACCAUCAUGUUUCUCUACGUAAGGUUGAUGAAUUAUAACACCCUAGCUUCUCUGUGCUCUUGGGGAAAGAAUCUAUCUAGGAAUGCAGUGACAAACUCCUCCCACUCAAUAGGCCCUAUAUCAUCUAGCCUUUCUAACUUUCACUACUUAUACUAAGUGUGAGCAGCAUCCUGCAACUGAUAUGCAGUUAGCUCAGGACUCUCACUAGGAGUAACCCCCAUGAUGUCAGUAACCUUUUGAACCUAAUAGAUGAAUUCCUGAGGGUCCUUAUCUGACUUAGACAUGAGAAAGGAUGGAGGAUUCUUUCGGGUGAAGUCCCAAAUCCUGGCUGCAGCUGAAUUGGCCACUGGGUUGGCCAAAAUGACAGCUGGUCGUUCAUUCUGAGUAGUAACUAAUUGAGUAAGAGAAGUGAAUGCAGCUUUAAACUCUGUACGAGAAACAUGUUCGCCCAAAGGUUCUUCUGGCUGAGGGGCUGAUUGAUUCCUGUUUUUUCUGUUAGGAGGCAUGUUCUAUAGAAGAAAGGGAAAAAUGGAUUAAACUAAGAUUUGAAUUUGAGCUCAUGCUCACUAGCACAACAUGAAUAUUGAAAGAAGGGAAACUAUUCCUAAAACAUCACAUAGCCUCUUAUACAUAAAUAUGACGCAUAACACACCCAUGCACAAGACUCUACUAGAUACAGCUUUCAAAUAUCCUAGGACCUUGUUGAACCUUAGGCUCUGAUACUAAGUUUGUAAUGCCCGGAAUCAAGUACCCGGUAUGCUACACGGUGCUCAUGACCCCGAAGGACCACAAGCUAAACCAUGACUGAUAUCGCUACCUAUAUACUGCUCGAUAUACUGUAUAAAUAUGGAAACAUGAAUUGAAAAGCCAUAAGGUUCAAAACUAUUAACAUAACUAAUAAAUCAUAACAUAUGGGUAGGGUAUAAAUACCUAAAACAAAACUGUCUAACAUGAUAGUCUGAACAUGAUAGUCUGCAAAGCCUCUAACUGACUGAACUGUCUGAAUAAGGAGUUGAUGGGACAUGUUCCCAACUAAAUCCACUAAUAAAUAAAUAAAUGAGAUAAUAAAGAGGUGAUCAUGUCCUCGAAGGAUGAGGAAUUACUGCUACUCUGACUGCUAAGACUAGAAUGCUACUGAUGCUCUGGAGCUCGUAUCUCAAAACCUAUGGUAUAAGACACCAUAUUGCAAAUGUGUUAGUACUUUGAAUGUACUGGUAUGCAUGUGAGGUAGGCAGAAUGCAUGGGGUUCAUAUGCAUGAACAAUACUGGCUAACUAGCUAAUAUGAACAUGAGAAUAUAUGCAUGAAUACGUAGUAACUAGAUCUGAGAUCGUGAUAACAUAAAUUUACUGAUAACUAACAUGAAUGAUAACCGAAUUCUGAUGACUGAUAUAACUGAUGACAUGAGUGACUAUGUCUGACAAUCCUGAAGCUGAUGGAACUAGUUAAGUUUUGUACAGUUCUGAGUUGACUGUAUCUGACAGUCCAAAAUUUUGUAGAACUAUCUGAGUUCUAUUAUUGAGACUGAAUGAUUGUAUCUGAUAGUCCUAAUUUUGUAACUAAAACUAUGGGAAGUAGUUAUCUAACUGACAUGCCACUAAUACUCCAUUAUGGCUGAGUUGGGGUCUAAUCUGUAACCCCAAUUGGAAGGGUGUUAAAACCACGCCACUAGUAAAGACAAUCUGUGAGUAACCCUCAUAUAAUAGGUAAAUCUUGUGAGAAUGGUGGGAACCCUUAUAUAACAAGUUAAUUUACCUCAUUUACCCGCAUAUAACAGGCUAUGAUGUCUCAACCUACAUUGGCUACGUAGUUCAAGAACACAAGGAUUGCUUCUAAGAAUUACACCCUCAUAUAACAGGUGAGUUCCCAUCCUUGGGUUCACUCGAUACUAAUUCCUACUCCCAUCUGAAUAGAUACUGAACAUGGAUUACUGAACUAAACUGGACGAAAUUAACUAAGUUACGUUGACUAACGGAAUAGUACUGAGACUAUUGAAUUACUGAGAUUUUUUGAGUCACAUGACUGAUAGAGUUCUAUGGAUCAUGGCUUGACUGAGUAUAUCAUGAAAAUAUGACACUAAAUCUAGGCAAACAGCUAUAUUUUUUUGGUACAAAUAUCCCCAGGACUCGAUGGAAGGAAACUGACAAGGCAUGAUAUUUUUGAAUACAUGACCAACAUCAACAAUCCGUAAUACAAUAAGUGGGGGAUUUUAUUAAGUACAUGGUUAUCAUAAUCUCGUACAUGAAUGGGAAUAGCUUUCAACAUACUAAUAUUUCAUCAACUAGUCCCCUAAGUAAUCCUUCAAACAUUCAUAAUGCACAACAAUAUCAUAGAAGUCAUUUUGAUAAUGAAGGUAAAGCAUGCAUUGACUAUUUGGAUCACAAUUUAUAUAUAAGGCAUAGUUUAUAUCCUUUUAGGCAUUUUAUCAAACACCUUUCAUACACAUCUUAAGGCAUAGGUGAAAUCAUCAAAUUUCACAAUUCAUAAACUACCAAAUUCAUGGAUUUCAAUUUAUAUGCUAAUGUAGUUUUCAUAAUUUCACAUGAAGAUCCUAACUUGGGAAUCAAACAAUAACAUCACAUAAAAUUGAGCGACCCACAACAUAAUAACAUGAUUCAUAUUUUAAAAUAGGGUUCUUAAGCUUUAUGGAUGAAAGAAAUCCAUAAAUCAACACAAUGUAUACCUUAGUUCUUUGUCUAGAGAAGAUUGACGGAGAAACUUUCUUGAAAUUGACUCCCCAAUUGAAACCCUAGCUUGUUCUUGAGAGAAAAUUGAGAGAAACUGAUAUAUUUUGGGUGGAGAAUGGCUAAAUCACGUGUAUUGGGUUUAAAUAGGGGUAGAAAAUUUACCCUUUUUAACCCUAGGUGUGUCUUUUAAAAUUGGGGAAAAUUUCCUGACCUAGACCCCUGGCACGACGCGGCGCUAUCGCUUCGUGUCACUGGAAUUUGACAACUAGGAAAUUGGGGGAUUGCACAACAUGGAGCCAUCGCGUUGCCACUUUGCAACUUGGAAGUUUUACGCGAUGUGCCACUAUCGUGGACCCCUACUGUAAUUUUAAAAAUGCCAUUUUCUCUUGUGGCGCGGUACGCCACUGACUAAUAUGGUGCUUCUUUAUGAUGGAAACUUGAAAUAGUCAUAACUUCUUUCCCAGUUAUCGAAUUUAGGCGAAUCUUAUAUCAACAGAAAGCUUAUUGAAUUUUUCACUUAACUAAAAGUGAAAAUCUUGAAAAUUACUCAUGGAAUAAACAUCAUUCAAUUUAGAAGUUAAUACUAGACAUUCUUAAGACAAAAUUUGUUAGGAAACUUUGGGGUAUUAUAAUAUCUACCCUUUGGGAAUAUUUGUCCUCAAAUGAGACUGAUUAAGAGAAGAGCAAUGAUAAGCCAAAGUACAUACUGAACAUGAACACUACAAUAUGAAUACAUAAUUAUAUUUUUCCUGAUAUUUAUACUGAGCAUCCAUAUCUGAUGCAUGAUUUCAUGACUGAGCUGAUACAUGAAUGCAUGACUGAGAGUACUGAUAAGCUGAUCACACGUAUCUGAUAUAUGAAUACGUGACAGGACUAAUUAUAUGGUUAAGAUUUCUAAUAACUGAGUAUUCUCACAAGGAGAAUGCAUGUCUGAUGCAUGAACAUUUAACUAAUCUGAUGCAUAAACGUAUAACUGAAUAUGCAAUGGUACUUAGUACUAAGUUUAAAAAAUGAAAUUGUGAACAUGUGACUGAGGCUAGGUCAUAACUUAAAUCUGGACAUGAAGACUGAAAAGCUUAAGGAAAACUGUUACCUUAAGCCAAAUCAGAGUUAGCAGAGAAAAGGUGAGGAUACUUGGUACGCAUGUCUGCUUCUGCUUCCCAAGUAGCUCCCUCAAUGUACUGGUUCCUCUAAAGAACUAUAACUAGAGGGACUUCUUUGUUCCUCAGUCUACGAGUCUGAUAAUCUAGGAUUUUAAUUGGAAUCUUUUCAUAAGAGAGGCUAUUCUGAACAUCGAAGCUCUGAAUAGGGACUACAAUAGCUAGGUCACCUAUACACUUAUUGAGCAAGGAGACAUGGAAGACUGCAUAGACUGAGGCUAGAUCUGAAGGCAACUCAAGCUCAUAAGCCCUUGCCUAAGCGACUGAGAAUUUUGAAGAGGCCAACAUAUUGGGACUGAGCUUUCCCUUCUUAUCGAACCUCUUCACACCCUUUAUGGGAGAGAUAUUUAGAUAUACAUAGUCACCAAUCUUGAACAUGAGAUUCUUUCUACAAACAUCUACAUAAGACUUUUAUCGGCUUUGAGCAGCCCGAAGUCUUUCUCUAACCAACUGGACUUUUUCUAAGGCAUCAAAUUUUAUGUCAUGUCCUAUAACUGAGGCCUCACUAAUUCAAACCAACCGAUUGGACAUCUGUACCUCCUACCCUAAAGAUCUUCGAAUGAAGCCAUCUUAAUACUAGAAUGAUAGUUAUUUUUGUAUGCAAACUCAAUCAAAGGCAAGUGGUCAUCCCAACUCCCCUUGAAAUCAAGUGCACACGCCCUUAGCAUAUCUUCUAGGGUCAGAAUAGUCCUCUUUUCUUGACCAUCUGUCCGAGGAUGAAAGGUUGUACUAAAAUAAACUUAGGUACCAUGACCCAUUUGGAAUUUUUUCUAAAAAUAAGAUGUGAACUGGGUACCUCUGUCAGAGACAAUAGAUAAUGGAACACCAGACCAACUCCCUGAUAUAGAGUUUGGCGUAAUCCUUGGCUGAAUAGCAAGUAUGGACUGGAAGGAAAUGAGAUGAUUUGGUCAUUCUGUCUAUAAUGACCUAAACUGAAUUAUGCUAAUGAUGAGUUUAAGGCAAACCCAUCACAAAGUCCAUGUUCACUUCUUACCACUACCAAGUAGGCAUAUUAAACUCUUGUAUGGACCCACUAAGCUUCUGAUGCUCUAUCUUAACUUGCUGACAUGCAAAUCACUAAGCCACAAACUCUUGAACAUCUCUAUUUAUCCCACUCCACUAAUAGAUCUCCCAUAAGUCACGGUACAUCUUUGUGGCCCCUGGAUGAAUAGAGUAGUGUGCACCAUGCCCUUCUGUAAGAAUUUUCUACCUUAAGUCAACUACAUCUUAAACACACAAAGGAUCCUGACAACGCAGAACACCAUCUCUUCCUUGGAAGAAAACCUUCACUUUUUUAUCCUUAACUAACUCUUUCAACUUAACUAUACUGGGAUCUCUAUCUUACUUUUCUUUCACUUUAAAAACUAGAGAUGACUCUAAACUACUUUGAACUUAUAUAUCACCCUUCUCUGUAUCAACUAAGUGAAUGCCUAGUCUGGCAAGCUGAUGGACUUUCUAAGCUAACUUCUUCUUACUGUCCUCAACAUGAGUAACACUACCCCUGGACAGUCUAUUAAAAGUGUCGUCCACUAUAUUGGCCUUGCUCGGAUGAUAAAGGACACUCAUGUCAUAGUAUUUCAAGAGCUCUAACCACCUUUUUUGAUGAAGAUUGAAAUAUUUCUUAGAAAAUACAUACUGAAGGCUCUUAUGAUUUGUUAACACAUCUACAUGAACACCGUACAAGUAUUGCCUCCAAAUCUUUAAGGAAAAAACUAUGGCUGCUAUGACCUUACCAUGCUACAUGAGGACACAACCCAAACUUACUCUGGAUACAUCACAAUACACUACAAAACCAUCUAAGCCAUCUGGAAGAUCUAAGACUAGAGCUAAGGUGAGUCGAGUCUUCAACUCCUAAAAACUCUUCUCGCAAGGAUCUGACCACUGAAACUUGACUUUCGUCUAACUCAAUCUGGACAUGGUGGAUGCAAUAGAAUAAAAUCCCUCAAUAAAUCAUCUAUAAUAGCCAGCCAAACCCCAAAAACUCCUGGUGUCCAAUGGAGAGUUGGGGUAAGGAUAAUUUCUUACUGCUUUGGUCUUUUGAGGAUCUACUCUAAUGCCAUCACCGAAAAUGAUAUGACCAAGGAAUGCUACUACCUUAUCCAAAAUUUGCACUUACUAAAUUUAGUGAACAACUGAUAAUUUCUAAGAGUCCGAAGUACAAUUCUGAGAUGGUCUGCAUGAUCAUGCUCACUGCAAGAAUAGACCAGAAUAUCAUCUAUAAAUACUAUGAUGAACAUGUCCAAGUACUUCUUGAACACAUCGUUCAUAAAGUCCAUAAAAGCUACUGGGGCAUUGGUAAGACCAAAGGACAUGACUAAGAAUUCUAAGUAACCUUACCGAGUACGAAAGGUUAUCUUCAGGAUGUCACAUUCUCUGACUCUAAGCUGAUGAUAACUUGAUCUAAGGUCUAUCUUAGAAAAAUAGCUAGAACCUUAAAGUUAGUCAAAUAAGUCAUCAAUCCUAGGAAGUGGAUACUUGUUCUUGACCGUGACUAUAUUGAGUUGAUGGUAAUCAAUGCACAUUCUGAGAGAACCUUCUUUUUGAAUAAGACUGGUGUACCCCAUGGGGACACACUGGGCCUCAAUAUUCUUUUUCCCUUCAUCAGUUUCAUAUUUCUUAGAGUAUUUCAGGAAAGCCUUUAUUUUGGACUUGCACUAGUUCUUAUAGAACCUUCUCUUAACAUCUUCACUGAGAUAUUGAGCCCAGAUGAUAUUCUAGAAAUGAAGACCAUGAGGUGUUUUCACAUAGACGACAACACCGACAACCACCAUUAGAGGUGUUUCAAUAAUGGUAACAGCUUUACAUGUCUCUUUCUUAUGGAGUUUUGAUCCUGGUUUUUCAACUUCUCUGAUGAUAUGAGUCAUUCUAUCCUUGUACCUCAGGAAGGCGGUGAGCUUGAAAGGAUUUCUUGGGUCAUCUUUUGGGAAUGCCUUCACCUUUCCCACAUGUCUGGCAGCAUGCUUCCUGGCAAUAAAUCCCAAAGAACCAUAUCUUGGAUGCUAAAACAUCCUGUGAGACAUUUUUUCCUCGUUUAACCUACAAGAGACUACUGCUAAAAAUAAGAAAACUGUGUCUCUAUGUGUUGCCCGAUAAACUUGGAAGAGGUAUUAAUAUUAUAAUGAUGCCUAGUAAAUUCAGAGGAUAUAUUGAUGUUAUGGUGAUAUUACAUAUGGUAAGUAAAUAUACAUAUAUCGGUGUAUGUGUGGUUAUGUCAUUGUAUGGUUAAGUCUUUGUGUGCACUUAGUACAUGACAUUUUUCUUGAGAAGUUGUCUAUAAUCCUCUACCAUUAAUCACUAGCUAAGUGGUAUCACUCUUACUAAUGCUAAAUAGUGAAUAGAAGUAAAACAUGCUAAAUUUUGAGCUGACUAAUUGGUAAGUGUAAAAUGUGUAGAGCCAAAGAUUUACCUAGUAUAUAUAUUUAUCUUGAAAUAAAGUUUUGGUUAAGAACUUUUUCCUAGUAAAUGGGUUAUAUGAUAGGUAGUUGUUACAUAAAGUGGUUAUGUUACUAUACUACUAGAAGCCUAGAAUACUAGUUGGUAGACCUUGUUUGGUUAAAGUAGGGUAACUAGUAGUUAUGAUUGAUUAAAUGGCUAAUGAAUAUAAUAGACCUAAGAUUGUUGAAUAUUAGUGACAUUGGCGCCUAGUACGUGAUGUCGUGGGUUGGUAAAGUAUUGACUUAGACAUUUAUGGUUUUAUCUAAUAAGAGGUAUUGAAUAAUAAGUUAGAUAAAUGAGUUUGAUAAUAGGUGACCUCUUUUUAUAUGAUGGCUAGUGUACCUAUAGUAACUAGGACUAAUGAUUUGGAGUUAAAUGGUGAUUAUGGCUUAGCCGUGCAUCUUGGCUAGAUGAGAAAGUUGUCUAUUUAAUAGAUGGUAAUUAGAUGUUAACUCACGAAGAGGUCUAUCAAGAAUCGGUUAGACUAAUGGUUGUAGGCCUUAAGAUGACUAGUAACGAGUAGCUUAACAAUAAAUGGUGGUUAGUUAACAUAGACUAGAAUAAGUAAAUUAUUAAGUUAGAAGUCUAAUUGACUAUAUAAUUAUGGUUAUGAUUACAUUAAUAUCAUUUUGUCGAAUUGCGGUAUUUGAUGAUGAUUAGGGCACUUGGAAAAUGGUCAUUAAUGGAAAUAUGGAAAUUAUCAUAAAUGUGAGCUUGUUGUGUGUAUAUAUAUUUUUGAUGCAUUGAUAAAUUGAUCUGUUGGUGCACUCUCCGGUGAUAUGGGAUGUCGUGAUGAUCUUUUUACUUUGUAUUCUCUUAGGUUUACUUCCCAGUGGUAUGGGAUGCCAUGGUAAGUUCUUUUUACUUUAUGCUUUAAUGACUCUAUGCAUGUUAACUUGGUAUUCAUGCUAUUGUAAUUAUAUAUAUGUUGCUUUACGCUUUUGAAUUAGUUAUUUAUUGUUUAUUACGGUUGUGGUAUGUUUUGAUUUGAGAUGUUGUAUCACUAUUCUAGUGGAUUAGUUAUUUUGUACAGUGAUGAUGGAGACGUUUUAGGUUCGAUCUUGUACCUUGGCCUAUAGUUAUUUUCUUACUUUAAUCAUAAUUUAGUUAAAUUGGUUGAUGAUUCCUACUGAGUACCCAUGUUUUGGUACUCAUACUACACCUCUAUACCUUUUUGGUGCAGACCUUAGUACUAUUUAUUACCAUUGAGUUGAGAUCGUGUUGCGUUGUUCUUUCAGAGACAGGGUGAGUUCUUGGAGUUUGAGUCACCUAUUUCCCCUCUAUUUCUAUUGUGUUUUUUGUAUUCGAGACAAAUGUAUAAGAUUAUUUAAGACUAUUUAGACUUUGAGUUGUAAUUUCUGUUAUCAAACUUAGAUUUUCUUGUUCUGAUAUUACCAGGUCAUGGGAAUUGGUAUCUAUAGUCAUUUUUUGUUGUGGAACUUUGUUGUUGUGAUUGUGUUCAAUUAUUGUAGCCCUUGUCAGGCAUUUUUACCAGGGUAACCUAUUUCCUAGCUUCGCGUUAUGGUGUCAGCUUACUUACUAAUAGUUUUAGUAAGUGACAUCAUGACUCAAAACUUGGGUCAUGAAAUUUAUUGCCCGUCCUAGAGUUAGAGAUUAUUAGACUUACCUCAUUGGUUUUGAAAGCUUUUGUAUUGGCUAUCCUUUUUUAUAUAGCCCAUUUUUAGCUUGACCAGUUUUGGAUUUAUUCUUUGUUUAUGGAUAUUUCAUCGCCCGAUAGCAGUUUUGAUAAUAAGAUUUAGAUAUCAUGGAUUUUUCUCCUAAAUUUGGUGGGCUCGCUCCCUUGUGGUGGUUUUCCCUUAUUAUUAGUGUGGAGAUUGGAUUCUCCUUUCUUGAUGUGAUAUGGUUUUGUCUUGAGUGAAAUUAGAAGGUUAGAGGUAGAAGGCCUUUCCAGUGAUCACUUCUUGAGUUGGAAAAUUGGAAAUUAUUCAUAUUAAGUUGUUGGUUUUCUGGUGGUGGACAUGACAUGGACCUUGGUUUUGAGGUUGAUUUUUUUUCGAUGAUGUGAUCCAUGGAUAGAUCGAGCGAUGAUAUCCCUACUUGGGAAGAUUCAAUAAAUCCCAAUUUUAGAGUUUGUUCGACCUAAUAAGGCUUAGUGGAGUUUUUAACCUUGAUGAUAGGUACAUAUGGCUAUUCUUCUCCAAAAUAGAGUGUUGGAUUGGUUAGUUUUGGCUUAAGUUGCAUCUUUUCGAGUUGCUGGACUUUUUGUCAUUGCUACUAUAGUUUGUGGCUGCUAUGAGUUCUUAAGUACGCUUUGAUAGUUCAUACCCUCCAGCGGAUACGGAGUGGAUCUCCUGAGUUUUCAGCCAGUGGUUUAUCCCCUAUUGCGAUUUUGUCCUUAGGUAAUUCCUUGAUUAUCUCCAUUUAUGUGCCAACAUAGCUCCUUAUUAUUUUAUUCUCAUAUUCAUUGUAUGGACCUUCAGUGGAUCAGCUUUAGUUCUUCUAGUUCUCUAUGAUGAGAUUGCACGGAUGAGACUCAGGUGAUUUUUUCUCCUAGUUUAGAGUGGAUAGCAAGUAUGGAUUGGUAAGGGAAGUGUAUAUUUGGAUUUGGAAUUAAUGGCAUGACUCAUGUCUUGGUUUGUUUUUGGCUCAGAUGAGCCUUUGUCAGAUUAUGCUUGUAUCAAGAUGGUAUCAGUGUGGUAUGGUUCAGUUUUUGUGCAUCAGCCUUUUCAAUUCAAUUGGACGCCAGUUAGUGGUUAAGGUUGAGUUUUGGUUAUUUGGAAGUGAAAUAAGAGUGAUUGUUGAAAAAGAGAUACCUGUGGCAAAAUCCUUAGAAGUAUUUUAUCUUUCAUGCUUGGAGAAUAUGGGCCCAGUACCUCAACCCUUCAAGCUUUUAAGAUUCUUUUAAUCCGUUGAAUUUUAGGAAAAAAAGUCCUUUUAGUAGUGGAUAUUGUAAUAACACUUCUGGUCAUUUUUUAUAUUUCCACUUAUCUUCAUUGUUAGGGCUUCUCCAAAGCUACCCUAAAUCAUUUAUGACUUGUUGGGAUUGAUUGUUCGAUUAUCGGGCAGUUCAUUUUGUUUUUAGAACCAAUUCCAUGUUUAGAAGUCCUCGCUAGUUCCAAAUGGCCACCGGAAAAAUACUUCAGCAAAAUGAUCUCAAAUGCAAAUUCUGACUACGCCAAUAGCUCCGGAAUAUUGAUUUUAGGCUAGGUAAACCUUUAGUUUUGGCCCAAUGCACCCAAGCUCAUUUCAAACUAUCGGUUAGAAAAUUGAAAAUUUGGAAAUGUAGGUAUGGGACCCAUAUUUGGUCAAAAUGACCUCGGAUUGAAAAUAUGACUUUGCCAACGCAUUUGGAAUAUUGAAUUUAGUGGGGUUACAUAGUUCGUUUGGCAAAAUUAAAUUUCAAAUGAGUCCUAAGGCAUUGGCCGUUGAAACUUGGAAAAAUUCCAAGUUUCAGCUGUCAUCUGUGAUGGCAAAAGAUAGCGGAUCACAGUGCGCGCCCUAUGGUGAUCGACCUUGUACGAUCAUGGCCCAUUGAGGGCGAUCUCUACUUCUCCUUUCCUGGGGCCUAUAAAUAGACCCCAUGGUCACAAAUUGGGUCAUUUUCUCCUCACCCUCGAGAGCCAAAAAACCUAAAUGGGUAUGCUAAAAUCAAAAUUAAUCUUUGUGGGGGACUUAGGAGCUUGCUAAACAUAUUUUAUCGCGAUUAUCAUCCAAAUUAAGGUAAGAUUUCAUCAUUUUUUGGAUGAAAUCUUAGCUCUUGACCCAAGACCCCAAAAUUCACUUAGGGCUUGAUUUUAGCCCAAAAUUUGCUUGGGUUGCACCUAUUUCUUGAGGAUUAUGAUUUCUUGUUCAUGUAUGAACAUUGGGUUGACCUCGAAAAUGUGUUUUCCAUACAUGGGACCCACUUGGGAUUUUUAAUAUCAUUUUUGGAUCCGAAGCACAAUAGUACAAUAUGGGUAUCUUUAGACUCGUAUUGAUAAGUAGAUUACUAUUUUGAUAGUGUGAUAGCAUUUUGGGGAUUGUGAAGUGAAGAUAGACGUAUUGUGAAUGAUGUAAGGUUUUGCGAUUCAGCUUUGAGAUAGGCUUCUAUCUACUCUUCUUUGUAAAUGACGUGUGAUAUAUAUUAAGUAUGAAUGUAAGUGUUAAGUUUGAUUAUGCAUAGGAUGACUUAUUAUUAACUCUUGGAGUUUGAGAAUUAGAUGAGGGCUUUUACCCGAAAGUUGAAAUGUGGAUUACCCUUUUUGAAAUCCAUUGUCCUCUCCCUAUAUUGGACUAAUUUGUAGCAUGGAUAUGAUAUAAUGCUAGGUUUGGGAUAUGGUUUAAGUGUUAGAAUCAUGGUUAGAACAAUUAACCUUAAUUGAGUUAGUCUAGUGAUCUUGAAAUAGUAAUUUGGGUAGAAUAGACUUAAAUGCCCAUGUUUCUAGUCGAAAUUCCUAUUUUAGAAUUGGUUAUGGCUUACUUUGACAUCUAGAAAUUGAACUAGAUACCUUAUCCUAAUCUGAGGUAUAAGUUGCCUAAAUGUGAAAAUUGAGGAUUAGAAGUGGGAUCGUCCGGCUCACUUAGGUCAAGACUCGUGUUAGCUAUUGUGGACUUAGUUGCGAAUAUUGGGCCUAGUUGAGAUUAGAGACCCUUUAGAAUAAUCUUACCUUGUGACUUGGUAAAUUGUGAUGCUGUUCUCCGGAAUUAUGACUUAUCAGUUAUGGCUAUGAUAUUCCUUAUGGAAGUGAUAUUUGGCCCAUAAAGAUAUUAUUUCCUCUUAGACUUGAUAUUUGACCUAUAGAGAUGCUAAUUCCUCUUAGAUAUGACAAAUGGCCUUUAGAGAUGAUAUUCCUCAUAAUCAUGAUAUAUUACCUAUAGAGGCGAGAUGCUUACUAAUAUUAUGCCUUCUAGAUAUGAAAUGCCUCUUAUAUGUGAGAUGAUUAAAGAUAUGCUUAAUAGCUUAUAGAGAUGUUAUGCCUCGCGAAUACUCUAUGGCUUAUAGAUAUAAGAUGAUUUAUAUACAUGAUUAUUGAUAUGAGUUCCGGAUAUGUAUGUGAGAAUAAGGCUGUGAUUAUGAUGUUAUGGUUAUUUCGAAAACAUUAUUGGGCUAAGGGCCAUGUUAUGAUAUGAACUGGAUAUCCGGGAAGUAAUUACCCUUGUAGAUGAUACGAUUGUAGUUUAUGAAUAUAUAUAUAUAUAUGUGUGUGUGUGUUUAUAUGCAUGUCUCUUCGAUUUGGGACGGGGGAAGAUGCGGUGUGAUGUUUAUGAUUUCAAUGGUUGAAUACUUGCGAUCCCAUGCAUAGAUUCAAUACAUUCAUGAUUGUUACAUUGGUAAUUGAUGUUAUCCUAGCUGAAAUAUGACCCUAUCAUUGUUUUCCUAAAUAAGGUUUAAAACUCACUUUUCACCUUUAAAAUGGAAUUCUCUACAAUAAUAAUUGUCUAACUUAAUGGAUAACUUAAAUAUAAAAGAGGUUAAUAAUGAUGUUUAAAUAUUUGACCGAUGUAUAUUCUAUUCCUUGAUUUGACACUAUUAAUUACUCCAGUCAUGAGAUAUUUCGACCCCUUUCUAUACUUCAUAAUGAUUCAGUCCCAAAUAUCACUCCGAGCAAUAGACUUAUGAAUUUAUAUUCUUUUUAGCCACGACUUGAUUCCGUGCACCUAUUAUUUACAUAUUCUUAUUAAUAAGGUGAUAUUGAUGAUGAGUGAUAAAUUAAGGAAAUAUAAUCCACCUUGCAUCUCUUUUCAUAUCUAUUUACUUUAGCCCUCGUGGGGCUUGUCAUUUACUUUAAUCCUCGUGGUACUUGCACUUUACUUUAACCCUUGUGGGGCUUGCUCUAUAUUAUGUGACUUUGAUUUGGGUAUUACGAUGAUAAUAUUGAUACCUGCAAGGCCGAAGGAUAUUAUGAUGAUUUGAUGAUACCUGACAAGGCCGGAGGAUAUUGUGAUGAUGAUAUUAAUACCCAGUAAGGCCGAAGGAUAUUAUGAUGAUGUGUUGAUACUCGAAAAAACCGAAGGAUAUUGUGAUGAUGAUAUUUAUACCCGACAAGGUUGAAGGAUGUUAUGAUGAUUAUAUACCCGACAGGGCCGGAGGUUGAUUAUGAUGAUGAUAGUUAUCAUGAUGAUGAUUAUGGUAUUAUGGAUUAUGUUGUAUUCAUUCUUGCAUAUGUAUUGCCUAUCACCAAUAUGCACCUAUGUAUAUCAUCCAGUAUGGGACGGCUACAUAGAUAUGGGUGAUGACUUUGCCUUGUGUUAUUGUAUGCUGACUGAACCUUCCGAGGUAGGGGCAUGCAUAGGCUCGGCUAAGUAUUUGGUUGUCCUGAAUAGUCGGUUACUCAAGUUGUUAUUGAUAUUGUUAUUAUCAUUAUUAUAAUUAUUGUUAUGUCUACCUUAUGACAGAUUGGUCAUUGAUUUGAUAUCGAGACUUGGCGUAUGAUUUUGGCCUCUUUUAUCUUACAAUUUUAUUAUUAUGCAUGAUAAAUUCAUGAUGUGAUAUAUGGAUUAGAAACCCUGAGUAAGUUAGUACUAAAUCCUGAUAGGAUUAAAAUGAAGCCUUAAAAUGAAGAUAUGAUGAUCUAGGUUACACUUCGAGUUGACCUUAUAUCUAUAUAUAUGUAUAUCUAGUUGUAUGUAGCUAUGGUACUACCGUAUAUCCCUUCUUUCAAUUGUUCAUAUUGUAUAUUCAUUCUUUGGACUUGUGUGUGUGUGUGUGUGUGUAUAUAAUCUUCCUUCAUCCUUUAUUCGUAUAUUAGCCAGGGAUAUACGGUAUAGUGUUGAGAUUUCUAAGUGUGGCUGGAAUAGGAUAAUUUAUCCUCGACACUUCCUUAGUCUUAUUAUGUUAGACUCUUGGACAUGAAUAGGAUAGUGGUUCCUUAUUAUCUCAUUGGCUUAUUAUAUGAUUUCUGGACUCGUGGGUGUAGUUUACAUUAUGUUUAUAUGAUCCAUAUAUCUGCUUUAUCUUUGGAGGUCAGUUGGAAGUUGCUUAUUGAGUACCAUUCAGUUAGUACUCAUACUACACUUCUGCAGCCUGAAAAUCAUAGUACGAGUUAUCGCUAUUGAUGUGUACGUCGUGCGGAGAAUCCAUGGUUUGGAGAUUUAGAGUGAGCUCCUGACGUUUGGAGUAUUGCUUAUCUCUCUCCUAUGUAUUAAACUAGUCUCUAUGUUGUAUUCGGGGAUAAGUUGUAUCAGUGUAAUUCCCUUUGAGUUUCUUCAUUGUACUCUUAUUAUAGUAGAGGCUCUUGUACUGAUACCACCAGGAGUUUGGGAUUAUAUUAUGUGAUCGCUUCUUUAUUUUAUCUAUUUCGCAAUUCUUUUCUUUAUAUGUUUGAUGGUUCGUUACUAGCCGUUUCGGACUAUGGAUUUGGCUUUCCUACCAGUGAGUUAAAAUAGGCGUCAUCAUGAUCAAAGAAAUUGGAUCAUGAUAGUUACAAAUUGUUAAACCAAGAUACAGCACAUAUACAUACCAAAUAAAUGUGACACUUUAGCUGAAUCCAAAAAACUACCUUUACCACAUCUUUAGAUUUUCUUGUUUUUUUUUUCUUUUUUGGAGUAGCUUCUAAACCUUCAUCUUUUUCAAUACUUUUGUCGCUUUUGUUCUUCCCCAGCAUAGGUUCUUUUCUAGCAAGACUUUUUGAUUGAAAGUGUGUUACACGAGUGCAAUACGGUUCGACCUUUGGACCAUCACUACUAAUCGGCACUACUUUAAUCAGCUUGGAAGUCUGUUUCUUAAACGAAACAGAGUUUAGAAAUCUUUUUUGCUGGUAAAAAAGGUGUGCCACUCGCAACAGAUAUAAUGUCUUAUUGAUGCAUAUCAACAUUGGACUUGGACUUGCACUUCCAAUUGGAAUGGGAUCAAUAACUCUUGAAGUUUUAUUUUUCAUAGGAUCACGGUUGCACUCGUAACUGAUAUAAUGCCAGCAAGUACAUCACCAGCAGCAAUUUGUAUUGUCACCACAUCCACCUUUAUCCCCUUCCUAAAAGCAUCGCCAAGUGCACGACGAACAUGUUUGAAAUGCAUAAACUUCAAGAAAUACACUAAAAGAAAAAUGGUUAUAUACAGAGACAACACAGUCCAACCUACUAUAAGUAGAUAAGCUAAACAAUCAAACUACAUUUAAAUCAGAUGCAUCUAAGUAGAUAAUUUAACCUACAAUGUAUUAUAAUAGAAAGAACAAAAUAUCCAAAAAAAAAAAAAACUAGGAUUCAACUCAGAAGGAACAAAUUUGAACUAUAAAAAGUAGCCAAAUGAACCAAAAAUCGAAGCAAAAUACAUAUUAAUAACAUCAAAUAAUCAACAAAUAAUAAUGAACAUGACUACGAGAAAGCUCAAAUCGGAGCUAAAUGAACAUUAACAACACAAAAUAAUCUACCAAAUCGAUAUUUUAGAAAUCUAACUUGAAGCUCAAACCGAAGAAAAACGAACAUACUUUAAUUAAUAACAACAAAUAAUCAAAAAAAAAAAAAGAAAUGUACCUAUUUUAAUGCUCAAAUCGUUGAAAUUGCAGAGAAUUUUGGGGAAAAGGAGGAAAAGGCAGAAAAUAAUGAAGGUAAGAGAGAUGAAUGCGUGCGGUAAAUGGGUCUUAGAGAGAAAUCGUAAUAGAGAGUUAAUAAAUGUAUGUAGUAAUUACCGAAAAUGUAAAAAUUGGGCAAUUUCGAGUAAUAUUUAGAAGGCGAAAUGAUCAGAUGGACACUUCUACAUAUCUUUUUGUCAUCGGAAUCUUUUAACCCAUUAAAACAUAAUAUUUUAAAUCUUUUUGACGUAUAUGUGGCAUUAAAUUAUUAAGUUAGAAAACGCAUGCAAACACGUAUUUUUAAGUGAGUUAAUCAAUAUUUUUCAUUUUAAAAAUAAUAAAUUUAAAAAGGGACAAAAUUUUUAAAAAAAAAAAAAAAAAAAAAACCACCCCCCUCCACUAUCCCCGUCCCCAACCCCCACGCAGCACCACCACCAACCCUCACGUAGCACCAACACCACCACACCAUCCAACCUUCCUCCCACCCCUCCCCUACCAUACUCAUCCCCGUCCCCUACCCCCAUGCAGCACCACGACCACCAAUCAGCCAAACUUCUCCCUUCCCCACUCCUAUCUCUCUACCCUCUCCCUUCGUACCUUUUUCUUCUCCACACUUCUUGUUCAUCUUCUUACCUCACCCUCCCUAACUCUUCUCCAGCCCACCCCCAACUUUCUCUCUCUUUCAAUUGAAAUAGAAAAAGCUUUCAAGCCAAAAAUCAUAAUUCAAUGUGCUAAAUCUAUUAUUUUCAUCUACUCUCUGAAAAAACACUACUCUCGAUUCGGCCAGUAUUAAUCAAAACAGCGUACUAUUCAAGUUCUUCUUGUUCCCCCUCUGUUUUACAUAUGUUUGAUUAUAUGAUAGAAUAUAAAUCGUAAUUUUUUUGUUGUUGAAGUUUUUGAUUAUAUGAUAUAUGGCAAAAUCUCAAGUCAAAAUUUCAUCUCUUCGUUGUUUAAGUUUUUUAUUUUUGUGAUAUUUAGAUUUAGAUAGCAAUUUUUUUGUUUGUUAAAGAUGGUGGUUGUCGGAUGGGUGGUAUCGCUGGAAGAUAAAAAAAAGUUUUAUUGGCUUGCUAUUUUUAAUUUUUAAACAAUGGUGAAGAUAAAUUUUAUUUUAAAAAAUAAUUUAAAAGUUUAUUGUUUUAUUUUUUAUUUAAUAUCAUUGAUUAAACAUCUUGUGUUUUGAUGGGUUAAGAGAUCCAAAUGGUAAAAGACUAAGUAGAGAUGUCCAUUUUGCAAACUCAAAUAGGUAUAAGGAUCCAUAAAAGAAAUUGAUCAGUUACACACAAGAAAGCACUAACUGUAUUUGGAACUCUUCACAAUUUUUUGGAACAGUUCGAGAAGACAACACUGGAAUUUUUAGAUGCAAUAAGAAAAGUUAGAGAUGAGCUUCAACUAAAUUUAGAUUUAAAAAAAAAAAAAAAACAGAAUCAUAAUUCACUAAAUUAUCUUAGAUAUUUGUGUAAUUUUAAAGAAUUACUAAUUUAUAAUAUUAAUGGGACCAUGUAAUUUUACAGGGGUCUUCCGUAAAUAUAUUUACUUAUUAUCUUAUAAAAAUUCAGUGAUUAUUUUCCGCUGGCAAGUCGAGACCGGAGAAAAUAUUUUUUUAUAGAGUAUUAAUUUAACGAGUAAUAAUUUAAGGAGGUUGUACUGUGGAAGGCCUUUGUUGCAAAAUCAUGUCCCUGUAACGAAUGAAAUGAAAUGCAUGCCGUUGCUAACAAAUCACUCAAAAGUAGAAAAGGCUUCCCAUUCAAAACAUUCUUUGCAAGAGAAAAUAGAAUCGCCAACCUGCUUAGGCACUACGAACAUGUAAACCCGUAGUUUACCUAGGAAGUACCCACCAAUGCCUCGACCAAAACUCCAAAUGUAUGCAACUACCUUAAUUACAAUCUAUAUACCUGUCCCAUGCUGGUAACAAGAAGCAGGCCAUAGGAAUAUAUGUAUCCAUUUUUCAACAAAAUUUUCCUAGAUAAAAUGGGUACAGUCACUAAAUUUGUAAACUAGGGGUAGGGCUAGAUAAAUGAAGCAAGAUUAGCACAUUUUCCCUGCAACCGUGUCACGCUGUCAGCUGUAUGCUGCUGUUGUUAAGACAAAGGAACAUCUCCCUUAGACUGGGAUUCUCGAAUAAAUCUAAAGCUGCAUGGUAAAGAUUGUCCGGAAUGCCUUCUAUCACAUCCAAAGCUUUAAUACAUUUACGGAUUGUAAAUCUUCCAUCAACUUGAGGCAUUAAAACUGUCUGACACUUCGAAGCAGCAAUCAUCGCCCGCAUUGCUUCUGCCAUAGCAUCAUUUGUCUCUUUAUCCCUGCAGUUCUGGCCUGAAGCAGGAAUUAUAUCUGAUGGACACUUUCUCUUUUUACCAGCUACAGUCGUUGUAGUUUGUUGUGUAGUAGCAGCACUAUGCAAAGGAGUUGAUGGAGGAGCCAAGUUGCUACUUACUACUUUAAAUGAGAUAUCAAUCCCAGCAGAUUUUUCCAGCCCUUCAUAGUGACUUACUUGUCUGUCUUAAAUUCAUCACGUAUGUAAUUCCAAGUUUUCUUAUCAAAAACAUUGUUUGCCCGGUUCCCCAACUUAAUCUGCUCAACAAGGUCAGCAAAAACCUCGUCCAGGGAAGGUGUCCCAUCUUGUUCUCAAGCUUUCUUGUUUGUGUUGCAUUUCAUUAGCUUCGGAAUCCAUUUGUAGAGUCAAGGACAUCAUUAUAAGUGGGAACAUAUUAAUAACCAGCAUAAAAACAAAUUCCUAGGAUAACAAACAUUAGGUAUGGAAUAUAUGCAACAGUAAGGCCAAUCCUGCUUAGCAGGUGUACCACAGUAAUGUCAAGUAUCAUCUCAGUUGCCUCCACAACAAACCAAGCCGGUUUGGGGCUCAAAAUGCCUGUCUUUUAGCUCAGCUCAACUUGACUUAGCUAUUGGUCAAACUUUGGAUUGGCUUGACUUAGCUCAGUUGGCUCGCUUAGACAUGUCAUGAUAACUUUGAAGCUAACAUUCAUCAACGACAACGUACCCGAUGAAACCCCACAAGCAGGGUAUUGGGAGGGAGAAUAUACAUAGACCCUACCCCUACCUCACGGAGGUAGAUAGGGUGUUUCCAAAGGACACUCAGCUCAUUUGCAACAAAUCAAAGUAGUUAUUAAAAGGAAAAAUGAGAGUAAAGAAAACAUAGCAACUAAUAAGGAAAACAGUGUAGAACAUUCAGAAAAGGAACAUUAACAACAACAAAAUAGUGUGAUAACUAAGACACAUUAAACAGAAGUUGAUGGUAGAUAUCAAAGUAAAGAAACUACAAGAAUAAAGCUAAUAGUACGACAGACACCACCAAGCCUAAACCCGUCGAAAAGCAACGACCAACAAGGAAGUGUUUCGAGUCUCCUCCCACUGUUUCAACACUACUCUUGGCUCCAUCAUGCAUGUCCUUCAUGUCCCUAAUGUAAGCCAUUGAUACCUAUCUCUAAAGGAUUUCCCUCAACAAUUUGGCAUUAGCAUUUUCAAGGUCAAUGAACACCAUAUGCAAACCCCUCUUCCGUUCCCAAUAUUUCACCACCAGUCUCCUCAAAGACGAAUUGCUUCUGUUAUUGAUUGCUCCGGCAUGAAUCCCAAUUGAUUCUCAAAAACAGACACACCCCUCCUCAUCCCCAUCUCAACCACCCAUUAUGAAACUUCCAUAGUGUGGCUAAGAUCCUCUUUUUGCCAGAGGUGGGCCUACGAUGUAAGCAUUAAUUUUUAAUUGAUCCAAUGUUAACGAGAAAUCUUUUUGGGAAAACAACAAGCAGUGCUCGAUGGUUUCAUAGUCAUAACCUUUUAGCCAUUUUCAAAUACAAUCGAGGUGUAUGUAAUCUAGCUAAAGCAAUACCACGAUUAAAAAAUAAUAAGACAAACACCAGAGAUACAAACAGAGAAUCUUUGAGCUGAACCACAUUUUUCACACAUCAUUUCUUCAUAUUCCAAUUCAAUCAUCAAACAAAAUAAAUCUUAGUACCAUAAAAACAUACCAUUCUAUUGAAGCAGAGAGCGUAGUAUAUAGUGAAUGUAUAAGAGAACAAUUUCUCCUUUGUAGCAGAGUUCAACCACAUAGAUUGUAUAAAACUUAGCAUUAAAUACAUGAAGAAAAUACCCCAAAAACAAUUCACCAUAAAAGAGGAAGAAAUAGUCGAAAGAAAAUAGAGAAAAAACUGAACGUAUUUUUUUCUGAAUGACCAGCUCAGCCAAGAUAAGGAAUAAUCGUUUCCUCAGAAUCCCAAAAUUUGGUUGCUUUUCUUAAAAUUGGAUUAAGGUUAGACUUGUGUUUAGGGAAGGAGAUAAAAGGAGAAGAUAAAUCGCCGAUCCAAAAUGAUAUCGGGUUUGCUAGGAAUGUAGACCAGG
rnacentral:lncRNA from 1 species